rnacentral:rRNA from 1 species
CAGUAGCCGCGGUAAUACGUAGGUCCCGAGCGUUGUCCGGAUUUAUUGGGCGUAAAGGGAGCGCAGGCGGUUUAGUAAGUCUGAAGUUAAAGGCAUUGGCUCAACCAAUGUAUGCUUUGGAAACUGUUAGACUUGAGUGCAGAAGGGGAGGGUGGAAUUCCAUGUGGAGCGGUGAAAUGCGUUGAGAUCGGAAAGAACACCAACGGCGAAAGCACUCUGCUGGGCCGACACUGACACUGAGAGACGAAAGCUAGGGGAGCAAAUGGGAUUAGAUACCCCCGUAGUCCCUGUCUCUUAUACA